UAUCAGACUAAGCUAUAUAUGGUAUUUAGGAGAUUUUAGCUUUGUCUUAAAGGUGGCUGAUGUUAGUAUAUGUCUUACAGCAUUUCCAUUAGUUGCAUUUAAGCAAAAUUGUUAGCUUAAAAAGCUACAAAAAUAAAUCAGAAAUUCUAAUUAACUAACAAUCGAUCUUUAGCUUAGACAUUUUAGAAACCAUGCUUAGCUAAUAGCUUCUGAAUAAAAUUUUAGGAGAAAAAAAAAAACGGUGCUUUUGGCGUUUGUUUAUUUUUAUCCCUAUCUUUUCUCUUUCCGUCAUCGAGGAAGAGGCCUUCAUCUUGAUUGAGAAAGAAACUCGUCAUACAUCCAUCAACGAUUCGGGAAACCCAAGCAGUAGUCUAAUCUUAGUGAGAUAUGAAUGUUGAGUCCGGGAACCGGUGGUACAGAGACGGGACAAGACAAGGGCGUGUCGGCUAAAGAAUAUCUGACGGAGAAACUGAGUAUGGGAGAGGAAGAUAAGGUUUUGUCGAAGGUGGUCGCUGAAAAGCUUCAUCUUGGCGGAGGAGAAACGGGCCGGCGAAGAAGGGGAUAGUGACACAAUCGGAGGAGGUGGAGAAAAGGCUAGGAGGAUUUAAGGAUCCGAGCUUGGAAGCAGCUAUGAAACACGGCAAAUCUUAUGCGGAUGAAGGCGAAGGAGGGAUGGUGGAGAAGCUGAGUGGAGCUGUUACUUCUUGGCUCGCUGGUACGACCGAGGAAGUGACGCAAAAGGCUACACAGUCUGUUCAGGACUCUUCACAGUCACUUGGCUCCAUCGUUGAGCUAAAGAAUCCGAUCUGAGGAAGAAGUUGACUAAAUAGAUCGAAGAUGUUUAAGCAGAUACUUGGGAAGCUUCCAAAGAAACCUUCUACCAAGUUUUGGGAUAAUGGUGAAUCCCAAACUCCAAAUAACAACAAUAAUCAAGGAGGAGGUGAUGAAGCUUUGAGUCACAGAUAAUCAUCAACAGAGAUAACACUGAUUUUGCCGUGGAGGCAACCAAAAACCUCAAAGAGAAAGAGAUCAAAAGGCAAACACUUCUUGAAGUUGUAGAUUAUGUUAUCACUUCUUGAAUUUAUUAUACUAUUAUAAUUUCCAAAAUAAUAAAUUUAAAUUAAAGACCAUAAUUUCAGAUA